rfam:TPA: Bos taurus chromosome 5, whole genome shotgun sequence.
UCCCUGGUAGUCUAAUGGUAAAGACUCCAAACUCCUAAUGCACAGGACCUGGGUUCAAUCACCAGCUGGGGAA